rnacentral:tRNA from 1 species
AAGACGCUAGUACAACAGAUAUUACCCUGCCUUGUCAAGGCAAAAAUGCGGGUUAAACUCCCGCGCGUCUUG